GAAAUGCGAUAAGUAGUGUGAAUUGCAGAAUUCAGUGAAUCAUCGAAUCUUUGAACGCACAUUGCGCCCUUGGCAUUCCGAAGGGCAUGCCUGUUCGAGCGUCAUUACAGCUCUCAAGCACAGCUUGGUGUUGGGCGUCUGUCCCCGCGUUGCUGCGGCGGACUCGCCUGGAAAGCAUCGGCGUCCGGCGGUGGGUCUUGCGCGUAGCAGAUUGUUCGCACAAGGGCCCGGCCGCAGGGCUGCCGCACACGUCUUUACAUCAGUUUGACCUCGGAUCAGGUAGGGAUACCCGCUGAACUUAAGC
rnacentral:misc_RNA from 1 species